UACGUAGGGUGCAAGCGUUAAUCGGAAUUACGGGGCGUAAAGCGUGCGCAGGCGGUUUUGUAAGACCGAUGUGAAAUCCCCGGGCUUAACCUGGGAACUGCAUUGGUGACUGCAAGGCUUGAGUGUGUCAGAGGGAGGUGGAAUUCCGCGUGUAGCAGUGAAAUGCGUAGAUAUGCGGAGGAACACCGAUGGCGAAGGGAGCCUCCUGGGAUAACACUGACGCUCAUGCACGAAAGCGUGGGGAGCAAACAGG
rnacentral:rRNA from 1 species